CCGGGAGUGCCCCCCGGCGGCCUCCCGCGGGUGCGGCGGUGUCGAGCUGCCCGGUCCGAGGGGUCUGUGGGGGCAGCGCUGCCCCCCCCCCGGGCGUGAGGGAGGGCGCGCGCGCCCAUGGGCGGGAAACCCUCCUGAGGGAGCGGCCGGCAGGGACACCCCACAACACGCACAAUUCCGGUUAAAAGCGGUGUUCCCUCACAGAGCGCGUGCAAUAUGCCUUAAAAGGCAGCCCCCCGACCCCCCUUUUAAAAAGGAAACUGUCGGGGCGUCGCUGAAAAUGCCGGAAAAUAAAUUAGUACAAGUGCGGUGGUGAAACCGCAUCGCGCAGAAUUCCAGUUAAAGGUGGUGUCCAGGGAAUGACCGGACGUGGCACUCGGUGCCCUGGUGUAGACAAGGUGGUGGUCGGUCAAAGGUUGAAUUCGGUGGUCUCAGAGGUCUUUUCCAACCUAAAUAAUUCUGAGGUUCUGCGUUUUUCCAUCCAGUUCAUUCACACUGGACACUGUGCAUUCAAAGCGAGAUUCCUGUGAGUGUCUCAAGUGCUGUGGCCUUGAGAGUAAAGAAAACGAAGACAAUCCAGGCAGACUGAGAAUUUAAGAACAGUGGUGCUGGCUGGGGAGAAGUGCCUGGAGUUACAGCAGAAGGUUCAUGUGGUUAUUCCUGGAGAACAGAACGGCCUUUCCGAAACACAAGAUGCAUUGCCCUGGCAUUUUCCUCAGUGGAGGUUGCCUUCAGGUAUUUUAUGCUUAGACAUGUCAUUUGAUUUAUUUCGGGCACGUUUAAAAGUUUGCUCUCAGGAGCAAAGUGAAGUAUUUUUUUAAUUUAUUUUUUCAGAUUUCCAGAAAACUGAAAAUUGAUCUGUUCUUGCUACUUCCAUUAGGAGUAAAACAGGGUUACAGCCAAAAUGCCCAGCUGAGGAGAGAAACAGAGUAGAAAAGGGAACCUUAAGGACAGAGCAAGGAGCUGCGAGACAGAACACAACCUCCAGUUGUGUGGGUUGACAUCCAGAUACUGGGGAGCUAAAUUCAUUAAAAUAAAUCCUAGUAUUCCUCACUGUGGAAUUA